GUGGCAGAAGGAAGCAAAGCUGAAACAAAACUCUUUUAACUUUCAAAACACACAACGCUAUCUGUAUUUGAGGUUUACCUACUUUACUCCUGACACCUGUGCGUUUCCUAUGCCCUCAUCUGUUCUUUUGUCCAUAUCCCCAUCUACCGAGUCUCAAUAAAUUUCCCAUUCUUUUGAUGAUGGGUUAUAGAAAAUUUGAUCUGUGCAUCUAGGUUUGUCAAUCUUGAGGAGUCUUGGCGCAUGCCGACACCAGAUAUAAAUGGAUAUGCUGCAUACCGGGAUGUUGAUCUAUAUAUAGGCACUUUUUUCUACUUCAUGUUAUAUACCAAGGUGACAAGAUGCUAUAUGUUUCAGUUCCCGAGUGCUCUUCUGUGGGAUAUGGAGCAACCCAAGACAUUGGUCCAUUCAUAGUGGAAACUGAUGGCCAUGGACUUAGAUUUAAUAACUACUCAUGGAAUAAAGAUGCCUAUGAUGAAGCAGAGGCCAACAUGCUAUUCCUGAAAUCUCCAGUUGGGGUUGACUUUUCAUACCCCAAUACUUCUACUUAAUAUGAUAAUCUUGGAGAUGCCUUUACAGAAGUGGUUUCUCAAGUUCCCAUCAUACAGAACAAGAACCUUCUACAUUGCGGGGGACAGUAUUUAGCAAUUGAGGUUUUGGCUUUUAGUUCUUGGCCUUUAAAGAGCUUUUGUUAUUCCGAUGGAAAUUAUGGUGGAACAGAGGAAUUGAAGACCAAAAAACCCUAAACAAAGAAAUCACCUCACAAAGAAUCAAAAGGAGAAAGACCCAUGCAAUAAUUCUGGAAUUUAUGCACUUGCAACUGUCUCGACUGAAUCAGAUGAGAGAGUUGUAAUGAAUCAAACCACAUAUUACUAUACCAGCAAGCAAUGUCCUUAUUCAUUGCUUCAUAAAUAUGUUCGGUACCAAGUUUUGGCAAGUAGCUCAGCUGCAUCCUAAACACGUAUUUUUCUGAAUAUGGCAUGGAGGCCAUCUACUUUGAUGAAGGUGUAAGGAACUCAAGACGACACUAACUGGAAACAAGAGCAUUGGAUGUGACCAUUUGUGAGGACUUGAUAGCAGUAAAUAGAACAAAGGCAAUAAAUAGAACAAAGAACCAGCUAAAGAUGCGGAGUCUGAACUGCUAUCGUCGACAAGUUUUUUGCGAAGUUUAACCAUUUUUUGUAAUAUGCUCAUGUAUACCUACUUGGUUAGCAUGUGUUGAAAUCUAGCUAAAGUAUCGGACUUCAAAUAAUGUGUAACAUAUAUGUAAUUUUGAAAUUUGGCUAAAGUACUAUGUAAAAUAAUGUGUUUUAGUGUACCUAAUAUUUAUAUA